UACGGGGGGGGCAAGCGUUGUUCGGAAUUACUGGGCGUAAAGGGCUCGUCGGCGGCCAACUCAGUCGGAUGUGAAAUCCCCAGGCUUAACCUGGGAACUGCAUCCGAUACUGGUUGGCUUGAAUCCGGGAGAGGGAUGCGGAAUUCCAGGUGUAGCGGUGAAAUGCGUAGAUAUCUGGAGGAACACCGGUGGCGAAGGCGGCAUCCUGGACCGGCAUUGACGCUGAGUGAGCGAAAGCCAGGGGAGCAAACAGG
rnacentral:rRNA from 1 species